GAGGGAAUAAGGAAAACUUGUUUUCAAAAUGAAAAUACAAGAAUGAUUGUUAGCUAUUUAGCUGCAAGCAGAAAAGCCUGAUAGAGUAUGUUUUCUAUAAACAUUCCUUACUCCGAACCGUUCUUUAAGAAAGUAAAACACUAAUUGAAGGUGGGUUGAAAAGAAAGAAAACAAAUAAUCUUCUGAUUAUAAAAUUUCAAUUUAUAUCUCAACUACAGGAAUUAAUAACUUGGGAAAAGUAUUCAGUUGGUGAAGGAUGCUUGAUAAGUUGGUUUUGUAGUUUACAAAGAACAGUAAUUUCUGUGUCAAAUACUUUUGCAGUUUUCCAACCCAGAGGGUAUCUGGUUCUUUUCCUAGCUAGGGAGGCUUGGCUUCCAUUGGAGCCUUCUAAAGUCAGUUUCAUUACUCUGGAGGUUGCUAAGGAGAAAAUUCUUACAAUAAAUCAGCUAAUGAAAAGAGGCUGCUCUUUUUGUUAGUCAGUAUGAAUUGCAUAAGCAUAUUCUUAUUUAUUGUGGGUUUGGUGUGAGGCUUUGUUGUUCUCUUAAUUGGCAUUUCUUGGGCACUCCCCCAGUCUUUCAAGGAGUUAUUGUUAGGUUGGCUAAAAGCAUCAUUCAGAGUCAUAUGAGGUUUUGGAGACUCUCUCCUCUUUGCUUGAUUUGGAGCAUUUGGAGAGAUUGGAACAAAAGAUAUUUUUAAGGCAAAGGAAGUUCAGAACUCGUGUGAAAUACUUCCAUAAAACCUUUANNN
rnacentral:lncRNA from 1 species